CAUUAGAUGGCUGAAAGAAAGUAAUGGUCUCUUAAACCAAUUUAUAGUAAAUUACGAAUACUUCUAAUG
rnacentral:tRNA from 1 species